AGAGUUUGAUCCUGGCUCAGGACGAACGCUGGCGGUGUGCUUAACACAUGCAAGUCGAACGGUAAGGCCCUUUCGGGGGUACACGAGUGGCGAACGGGUGAGUAACACGUGAGUAACCUGCCCUCAUCUCUGGGAUAACAGUCGGAAACGGUUGCUAAUACUGGAUAUGAGCUUGCAAGGCAUCUUGUGGGUUGGAAAGAUUUUUUUUGGUUGGGGAUGGACUCGCGGCCUAUCAGCUUGUUGGUGAGGUAGUGGCUCACCAAGGCUUCGACGGGUAGCCGGCCUGAGAGGGCGACCGGCCACAUUGGGACUGAGAUACGGCCCAAACUCCUACGGGAGGCAGCAGUGGGGAAUAUUGCACAAUGGACGGAAGUCUGAUGCAGCAACGCCGCGUGAGGGAUGACGGCCUUCGGGUUGUAAACCGCUUUCAAUUGUGACGAAGCUUUUUGUGACGGUAGCAGUAGAAGAAGCACCGGCUAACUACGUGCCAGCAGCCGCGGUGAUACGUAGGGUGCGAGCGUUGUCCGGAUUUAUUGGGCGUAAAGAGCUUGUAGGUGGUUUGUCGCGUCGGGAGUGAAAACUCAGGGCUUAACUCUGAGCUUGCUUUCGAUACGGGCUGACUUGAGGGAGGUAGGGGAGAAUGGAAUUCCUGGUGGAGCGGUGGAAUGCGCAGAUAUCAGGAGGAACACCGGUGGCGAAGGCGGUUCUCUGGACCUUUCCUGACGCUGAGAAGCGAAAGCGUGGGGAGCGAACAGGAUUAGAUACCCUGGUAGUCCACGCUGUAAACGUUGGGCACUAGGUGUGGGGGCCACCCGUGGUUUCUGCGCCGUAGCUAACGCUUUAAGUGCCCCGCCUGGGGAGUACGGCCGCAAGGCUAAAACUCAAAGGAAUUGAC
rnacentral:rRNA from 1 species